rnacentral:rRNA from 1 species
AAAACGACCCUCGGCAACGGAUAUCUCGGCUCUCGCAUCGAUGAAGAACGUAGCGAAAUGCGAUACUUGGUGUGAAUUGCAGAAUCCCGUUAACAAUCGAGUCUUUGAACGCAAGUUGCGCCCCAAGCCUUCUGGCCGAGGGCACGUCUGCCUGGGUGUCACAA